UUGACCUCGAAUCAGGUAGGAAUACCCGCUGAACUUAAGCAUAUCAAUAAGCGGAGGAAAAGAAACCAACCGGGAUUACCUCAG
rnacentral:rRNA from 1 species